GAGCGGACGGCGCGUGCCAUCCGCGGCCACGCAAACCUAGCCCAGAUUUGGGCCGGGUUUGCGUCGUUCCGGACGCUGCGGCCGUCCGCUUUUGCGGUGCGUCCCCGCGUUGGGCCGGCUUUUUUGUCCGUUUCGACCCAUCCGGACGCGCGGGCGCGGGAUGGGUCGCGCGGUUGGAGAUGCCCUUAAACGACGUCACGGACGGGCCGUGUAUUUUAUACGGACUCACGGACAGCGUCCGCAGAGCCUGCCAGGUCCAUCUGUCCUGCGAAAAAAAAACAGGAAGAACGAAACAGCAGUAUCUCCACUUUUCCAUUCCCUCGAUAGGACACGGCGGCACGUCAUUCGCCACCGCUGGGCCGGCGCCCCGCUCCUCGCCGCUAGCCUGCGCCCAGCUCGUCGCCGCCCUCCGCCCUCCACACUCCUCCCCUCCUCCCAGUGCCUCCCCUCUACCUUAGGUAGGAGCUCAUCGUAGGGUCUGAGAAGGUCUCCGCCGCCGAGGACCUGGCCGCCGGCCGCCGGCCGCCGGCCACCGCCCGACCCCCGCUCGGCAAGGGAGUGCGGCGGCAUCGGCGUCAACCUAGAGGGCAAGGAGCAGUUUGUCCAAUUGCUGCUCUCUUCCCCAAUCCGGGGGAGGAAUCUUGCUGAGGAGGAGAUCAUGAAUCCAGCGGGACAGGUCUGUUUCUUCCCCCAUCGAUAAUGUGAAAGAUGCUGCCAUAAUCUUGUUGCUCUGAACUUUUUUUGGCUGCUCAUGAUAUCAUGUUGCUUCUCAAGUAGACAGACACUUAAUAUUUCCACUCCUCGUGCAAGAUUUAUCAUCUAUAGUGGAAUAUGAUUAGAUGAGUCUGAAUUGGUCCGUGAGUUAUUCCCCAUUUUACACACAUGGGGUUUUCAUCUUUUAUUUGCAGUAGGCUGCUUAAGGUUUUGUUUGAAGUUACCUGCUUGAACAUGACUGUGCCAUGAUCUUCUAAUUUAGAAUCAAUUAUCUCUGGUGGCAAAUCUUGAAAUGCAAUAACAGGAGUGUCCGACUGUCCGAGUGUGGCACUAUGGUGUAGUGAUAUUCGGUAGUCGAGCUUAUAAGUCAGUAGUUCACUGUUAGAUUACCCUAUAUCCAUGCAAUUUGAUCUGUAGCUAUCUUGAUCAUACUUAAUCUAGUUACGUUGACAGAAUUUCAAACCUUACCAUUGUACUAAUAGACCUGCCUUAUUUAAGACAGCUGCAAAGGUCGUCCACAUUAUUGUGAGGCCGGAAUAAUGAUGCUGCGAAGUUAGUUUGUUGAAGCUACAAGUCUAUCGGCGGAGCUUCAAAGGCGGCCACCGUUGUCAGCUGCAAAGGUGGGCUAGCAUUGCUGCAAGGCUUGCCGAUGAUGCUGCAAACAAGCUGUUUCGAUGACGGUGGUCGCAGCUCACGGCGAUGGGCGGCGCUGAUCGCGGCCAUGGGCGAAGGUUGCUGCAGCUCAGGUGGAUAUACAGCGCCAAGGGCCCUGCCUCUGAUUCAUGCCGGAUUCGUCGUGCAACUGCAAGGAGGAGGGAUAGCAAAUAACAUGUGCAGUACGGUGGAUAAUUUGACGACGAUCAUAAUAUGGAGCAAUGGGUUGUAUGAAUAUGGAAUAUUUGUUCUGGACAUGAUUGUACAAAGUGUAUUACAAUGAGAA